UAUUUUAAAGAGAGUUUGAUCCUGGCUCAGGACGAACGCUGGCGGCGUGCCUAAUACAUGCAAGUCGAACGAACGGAGGAAGAGCUUGCUCUUCCAAAGUUAGUGGCGGACGGGUGAGUAACACGUGGGCAACCUGCCUGUAAGUUGGGGAUAACUCCGGGAAACCGGGG
rnacentral:rRNA from 1 species